CACAGUUAAAUUGAAUUGCAAAUGAACUAAAGAAUAAUUUCUUAUUGUAAACAGAACCCAGGUAAUAUUUGGGACAUACUUAUACUAAAAAUGUAUUUUUUGUUUAUCUGAAAUUCAAAGUGU
rnacentral:miRNA from 1 species